AAAGUUCCCAUCACCAGCCAGUAGCACCAAGCUGGGGAAAGAGCCUUUAACAUGGCCCUGGAGAACAUCUCAGAACCAAAUACAGCACAUCAUUCUGCAAAAUGCCUGUUCGGGUUUCUCCUAUAUGCUUUACCUUGUUGGGUUCUUCAUUAAGAAGGAUACUUCAGUCUGCCUCAGCUGCUGUUUAUCUCUGGUCAGCUUCUCUGGAUAGCAUGUGUACUAGGGGUACAGGCAUGAGCCCCCACCUCCAGCUUCCCUUCCUCGUUUUGUGGCUGUCAUCUUGGGGUGUCUUUUGAGGCUGUAGGCACCCUGCUUCUCAUCAAACCCCUGUCUGCUCCCGAGCAUCACUGGUUCCUGCGUGAAACAUAACUCAGGAAGGUUGUCGGAAGACAAACUUCCAAUCUUGGCAUUUUGCACAUUUUUGACUUGGCAUAUCCUGCUACAAGGAAAAUCACUUUCUUCCA